AUCCUGUUAAGUCAGGCAACGAGCGAGACCCACGUCCACAGUUGCCAGCAUACCCUCCGGGGUGAUGGGUACACUGUGGAGACCGCCGCUGCUAAAGCGGAGGAAGGAGUGGGCAACGGUAGGUCAGUAUGCCCCGAAUCUCCCGGGCUACACGCGGGCUACAAUGGUUGGUACAAUGGGCAUCUACCCCGAAAGGGGAAGGAAAUCUCUUAAAGCCAAUCGUAGUUCGGAUUGAGGGCUGCAACUCGCCCUCAUGAAGCUGGAAUCCGUAGUAAUCGCGUUUCAACAGAACGCGGUGAACACGUCCCUGCUCCUU
rnacentral:rRNA from 1 species